rnacentral:rRNA from 1 species
AUUGAACGCUGGCGGCAUGCCUUACACAUGCGAGUCGAACGGCAGCACGGGAGCAAUCCUGGUGGCGAGUGGCGAACGGGUGAGUAAUAUAUCGGAACGUGCCCAGUCGUGGGGAUAACGUAGCGAAAGCUACGCUAAUACCGCAUACGAUCUAUGGAUGAAAGCGGGGGAUCGCAAGACCUCGCGCGAUUGGAGCGGCCGAUAUCAGAUUAGGUAGUUGGUGAGGUAAAGGCUCACCAAGCCGACGAUCUGUAGCUGGUCUGAGAGGACGACCAGCCACACUGGGACUGAGACACGGCCCAGACUCCUACGGGAGGCAGCAGUGGGGAAUUUUUGGGACAAUGGGCGCAAGCCUGAUCCAGCAAUGCCGCGUGCAGGAUGAAGGCC